UGAACGCUGGCGGCGUGCCUAAUACAUGCAAGUCGAGCGAACAGACGAGGAGCUUGCUCCUCUGACGUUAGCGGCGGACGGGUGAGUAACACGUGGAUAACCUACCUAUAAGACUGGGAUAACUUCGGGAAACCGGAGCUAAUACCGGAUAAUAUAUUGAACCGCAUGGUUCACUAGUGAAAGACGGUUUUGCUGUCACUUAUAGAUGGAUCCGCGCCGCAUUUGCUAGUUGGGAAGGUAACGGCUUACCAAGGCAACGAUGCGUAGCCGACCUUGGAGGGUGAUCGGCGACACUGGAACUGAGACACGGUCCAGACUCCUACGGGAGGCAGCAGUAGGGAAUCUUCCGCAAUGGGCGAAAGCCUGACGGAGCAACGCCGCGUGAGUGAUGAAGGUCUUCGGAUCGUAAAACUCUGUUAUUAGGGAAGAACAAAUGUGUAAGUAACUAUGCACGUCUUGACGGUACCUAAUCAGAAAGCCACGGCUAACUACGUG
rnacentral:rRNA from 1 species